rnacentral:misc_RNA from 1 species
AACUGAUACUACCUGCGGGAACCUGCGGAAGGAUCAUUACCGAGUUUACAACUCCCAAACCCCAUGUGAACAUACCUGUUUCGUUCCCUCGGCGGUGUCCGGCAACGGCCCGCCAGAGGACCCAACAAACUCUUUUGAAUUUUUCAGUAUCUUCUGAGUGAAAAAAACAAUAAAUCAAAACUUUUAACAACGGAUCUCU